rnacentral:rRNA from 1 species
AUACGGAGGGUGCGAGCGUUAAUCGGAAUUACUGGGCGUAAAGCGUGCGUAGGCGGUUUGCUAAGUCAGAUGUGAAAGCCCCGGGCUUAACCUGGGAACUGCAUUUGAUACUGGCAGACUAGAGUAUGCUAGAGGGGGGUAGAAUUCCUGGUGUAGCGGUGAAAUGCGUAGAUAUCAGGAGGAAUACCAGUGGCGAAGGCGGCCCCCUGGAUCAAUACUGACGCUGAGGUGCGAAAGCGUGGGGAGCGAACAGAAUUAGAAACCCUAGUAGUCC